AUUCCGUUUUGCUGGGCGCGCGGUGGAUGGUCUGAAACGUAGAGAACGGCUUUCGGUGGGGCUUCGCGGCACCGGAGCCCAGCAUGGCUUCCUCACGAGCCUCCUCCGCGGUACAGGCAACCAAAACUAAGGCAUCUGAUGACUUAGUCGCUCCUGUUGUGAAGAAACCACACAUCUAUUAUGGAAGUUUGGAAGAAAAGGAGAGGGAGCGCCUGGCCAAAGGAGAAUCUGGGAUUUUGGGAAAAGAAGGACUUAAAGCAGGAAUUGAAGCAGGGAACAUUAACAUAACCUCUGGAGAAGUGUUUGAAAUUGAAGAGCACAUCAGUGAGCGACAGGCCGAAGUGUUAGCUGAGUUUGAGAGGAGGAAGCGAGCCCGGCAAAUCAAUGUUUCCACAGAUGACUCAGAGGUCAAGGCUUGCCUUAGGGCCUUGGGGGAACCCAUCACACUUUUUGGAGAGGGUCCUGCUGAAAGAAGAGAAAGGUUAAGAAAUAUCCUUUCAGUGGUCGGUACUGAUGCCUUAAAAAAGACCAAAAAAGAUGAUGAGAAAUCAAAGAAGUCCAAAGAAGAGUAUCAGCAAACCUGGUACCAUGAAGGACCAAACAGCCUGAAGGUUGCUAGACUGUGGAUUGCUAAUUAUUCACUGCCCAGGGCAGUGAAACGCUUGGAGGAGGCCCGUCUUCAUAAAGAGAUUCCUGAGACAACGAGAACCUCCCAGAUGCAAGAGCUGCACAAAUCUCUCCGGUCUUUGAAUAAUUUCUGCAGUCAGAUUGGGGAUGAUCGGCCUAUCUCCUACUGUCACUUUAGUCCCAAUUCCAAAAUGCUGGCCACAGCUUGUUGGAGUGGGCUUUGCAAGCUCUGGUCUGUUCCUGAUUGCAACCUCCUCCAUACUCUUCGAGGCCAUAACACAAACGUGGGAGCAAUUGUAUUCCAUCCAAAAUCCACUGUCUCCUUGGACCAAAAAGAUGUCAAUCUGGCCUCUUGUGCUGCUGAUGGUUCUGUGAAGCUUUGGAGCCUUGACAGUGAUGAGCCAGUGGCAGAUAUUGAAGGCCACACAGUGCGUGUGGCCCGUGUAAUGUGGCAUCCAUCAGGACGUUUCUUAGGUACCACCUGCUAUGACCGUUCAUGGCGCUUAUGGGAUUUGGAGGCUCAAGAGGAAAUCCUGCAUCAGGAAGGCCACAGCAUGGGUGUGUAUGACAUUGCCUUCCAUCAAGAUGGCUCCUUGGCUGGCACGGGGGGACUGGAUGCAUUUGGUCGAGUUUGGGACCUGCGUACAGGACGUUGCAUCAUGUUCCUAGAAGGUCACCUGAAGGAAAUCUAUGGAAUAAAUUUCUCCCCCAAUGGCUACCACGUUGCAACUGGCAGUGGUGACAACACUUGCAAAGUGUGGGACCUUCGACAGCGGCGUUGUGUCUAUACCAUUCCUGCCCACCAGAACUUAGUGACUGGUGUCAAGUUUGAACCUAUCCAUGGGAAUUUCUUGCUUACUGGUGCCUAUGAUAACACAGCCAAGAUCUGGACCCACCCAGGCUGGUCGCCACUGAAGACUCUGGCCGGCCACGAAGGCAAAGUGAUGGGCCUAGACAUUUCUUCCAAUGGGCAGCUCAUAGCCACUUGCUCAUAUGACAGGACCUUCAAGCUCUGGAUGGCUGAAUAGGCAGGACCAUGGAAGAAGGAUUCUAGCCUCACUCUCUCUUUAGAGCCAUUUUCAAAGGAAAGGAAUUGAUGUGUUUUGUCCUGUCAUGUAUUUUGCUAAUUACCAUGUAUAGAUCCUCAAAAGAAUUGGAUUUCCACGCCAGCUCCCACUUCAAGCAGGCAGCCCAGUCCCUGGGUGUUGGUGAACCCCUUUCAUGGUUGAAAUUUUAAUUUUCAUCUUCAAGCCCUGCCAUGAACUUUGUAGACAUUGUUUUUAUUAGUCUUUUGUUUGAAUGCCCUGUUGCUUCCCUCACAGCACUCAGGAUUGUGACUAACUCCAUUUUUAAUUCUUGAAACUUGGCUUUCCAUUACAUGGUACAUGCUUCAGGACUACAUGUGACCCAGAGAGCAAGGUGGCUGGACUAUAUUCUGGAAGCCCUCGAGUAGAGAGACACACCUCACCAUGCACUGGCUAAACUGUGCCUGACCGAGCAAGAACCCCGAGAACAGAAGGUGAAGAGGUAGACCACAGCUAUGCUUAGGGUUCUGCAUUAGAGAAUAUUUUACCUCUUCCUGUUGAGUUCACUUGGAAUGCUAACUGCAUUGGGAAGCUCAGAACUGAACAUUUUCCUCGUCAGAAGAUGUCUUCCAUUUUGCUUUCAAGUUUGGCAUCCUUUGUGUUACCCAAAAAGUAGGCCAUUGUGUCAAGAUUCAAUGAAAUUUUUAGAAAGCAAACAUUAUGUCUCUAUUUUGCAGGUUCUUUUCUAUUGGUUAUUUAAAGAAUGUACCCUUCAUGUCGAGGUAACUGUGGAAAAAAAUCCCUAAUGGGUAUUCCUAAACAUAAACUUUUUCUUUAUUAUAUACUUGCCACAGAGUAAAAUCCUAUCUAAAAAACUGCCCUUUAAAGAAUUAUCUUGCAUAGUUAAGUAUUUUCUGAAUCCUAGGCAUUGGUCCACGGAGGUCCCUUUUUUUUUACUUUGAGAUACAGCAAAUGACCUCAAGUAUGGCGUACUCCAAUUCUGUCUCCUUAGUAAGCAUUCUGUUAGUAAUUUUUUUAAAAAAUGGAGGGCUGUUGCAUUGUGGGCGAGACUACCAGUGAACUGUAUUUGGACUCUAUAAUUCUUACUCAUUGGCCAAGCAGCAGUUACUUUCAGCUCUUUCCACCCCAGGUAUACAACCAGUGAACUCUGGAAAUACACAAAAAAAUUCACACAAAAAUAGAGGAAUUGGCAAGAAGAAAGGAUUGUGUAUAGAGAAUUCAAGAAGGGCUUAUAUGAUGGCUUCUCCUUGAACGUUCAAAACACUUUUCCUUUGCUGUUCCAGGGAGGAUGAGAGUGACUUUGUCUGGCUCUGUCGUGCAAACUAGGAAUGUGUGAUAUGUAGCUAAAUAGUCUGUUUAAUCUGAUUUCAAUUAUAACCAAGUAGUUGCAUAUCCUGUGUACCUGUUAAGCUUCUGGAUUAUCAGCUCUAUUCUCUGUUGGGCACUUCACUGUUGUUUAAGUAUUAAUGGGCUCUAUUUCCUCCAUAGUUAGCCAUGAAAAGAAAUUUUCAUUACUACCUUUGUAGUGUGUUUAAUAAUGAAUGUUAGUGUAUUAGCGUGCAGCUUUCAAAUAUAGUGUGUUAAAGGUUUUCAGUUUUUCAAGUUGAAAUCUUACCAUUUGUUCCAUUAAACUUGUCUUUUUUUUUGUGGGGGGUGGGUGGUUCCAAGAGAUCUAGAGGGGUAGCAACUGGGUGAAAAGAUUUCAUCUAAGCCUUUGGCCAGACAAAUGUCUUGCGGGGUAUACACUUCCUUACUGGGAGUAUCAUUGUCCAAAAGCCGUUAGCUGAGGAGCAUAUCCCAAAUGUGUCAUUUCGUGCUAACGGUGAGACAAACGUCACCGCCAUCAUUUAACAGGACACUUACCGCUGUCUAGACACCGCCAGGCACAUUCAGACAUCUUGUUUAAUCCUCACAGUCUUACGAGUUAAUUAUUAUUCCCUCUUUUACAAAAAAAGCUGAAGUUCAAAGAAGUUAAGUAACUUGUUCCAGGUUACCUAGUUAGUAAAUGGUAGAGUCUGGUCCGUCUGUUACCUUAUAAGAGGUUUCAUAGGGCUUUACUGAAUAUGUUGGCAACACUGGCCAGACCAAAAAAAAGAAUCAGUCCAGCCAGCAUGGCCUGUUCCCUGUACAAAGCCUGAACUUUAUAACUGCUCCACCUUUUUUUUUUUUUUAACUUUUCUUAGCAUUUAUUUUUUGCAGCAUUUAUUCCCAGGCCGUAUAUUUUUGUUUCUUCUGGGAUAUCUUUUUCUUCUGUGCAACCUCCUCUUCUGGUUUAGGAACAAUCUGUUCCUUUUCAGUAAGGAUCAUCUCAAUGUGGCAGGGAGAGCUCAUGUAUGGGUUGAACCGACCAUGAGCUCUUUAAAUCCUGCGCUGCAUCUUGGGGGCUUUGUUCACCUGGAUGUGAUCAAUGACCAGAGAAUCUGCAUUUGAGUUCAGCAUUACUCUCUGCAUUUUUGAGAAUGUGCAGUAAAAAUUCAGCACUCUUUGGGCCACUGACCCUGCAUCCAGCCCCACUGUUUGGCCUGGGCACACCUACCAACUCCACCAUUGUAAUGACAGAAUGGCACACAUUGCUUCUGUAAAGUGACAUCCUUCAGAUACUUGGUGGCUUUUCAGAUAUGCAUACCCUUAAUGGCCUGGACGGUUUCACGAGUGUUCUUAAAGUGAACAUGAAGAUUUGAACCUCUUGGUCACCUCAGACCACUUACCGGGAAAGCCUGCUCUACCAUUUAUACUGCCCUUUUGAGGAGUCACUGCAUCUCUUACUCUGACUUCAUGCCAAAGGGAGUUAAUUUUACCACUUCUACCUUGUGAACUUGCAAGGAGCCUAUAGUGUUAUUCAACAGGAAACUAUUUGCAUCUUGGGACGGAUGAUAUUUUGUUGUGUAGAAAUGUCUUCAGCAUUGCAACAUGUCUUAGCAUCCCUGACCUCUGAGGUACUAACAGCCAAAAGCACAACCCACCCCUGCAUUGGGGUGCCAAAGAUUCCUAAAUGCUCUCUAGAAGGAUGGCACUGCCCAACGUUAGAACUAUUGAAUGUGAAGACAGAAGAUGCCACAAUGUUAAGUAUAUCCUUCCCUAUCCCAGAAGACUCAAAGCUGUGUCUUGUUUGGUGAAUCAGCCACUCCAACAGUGUAAGUUCUAUUUUGACUGAAAGGCCUCCACCACAUGCUAGCUGGGUGACCUUGAACAAGGUAGCUAAACUUGGGGAGCAUCAGUUUCAUCUGUGAAGUAGGAGUGAAGCCUGUUUAACUCGGAAGCAGUAGUCCUAGUACAGAGGCAAGUGUUCUUCCCUGAGCUUCCCCGGCUCCUCUCUCUGUUCCUUGUGGCUCUGAGAAUAUGGUGAGAUCAUUGCCUAAUUUACCCAGCACAAGAGUUAAGGAGCAAGGAUGUGUAAAGAAAUGAAGUCAGUGGGGAGAGGUCAAGUCCCAGCUUUAGUAUAAUUAUCUUCAGUGGUGCAAAUGGAGAGGUAGAUGCUAGUCCCCUGGCAGGAUAUGUAGGCGGCUUUCCAAUUUCAUAAUGGAGAACUUUUUCUUCACAGUGGAGCUUAAGACUGUUUGGUUUUACUAAACAUGAAGUAUGUAUGUCUUGGCUAUUUUGGAAUAUCUUGUACAUUAAGACCCCUAAGAGUUUAUAGAAGGUGGUUUCAUUAAACUUACAAAAUGCUAUUUAGAGCAAAUAAAACCAAUUUCUGGCCUCUGAAAGCUUAUUCUACAAAUCCCAAAAAACAAAAUGUUAUCUUUUUGUGAUGGUGUUUUAACCACUUUGAGAUUGUUUCAGAGCCCUGAGCCACCAGGCAGUAUUAAAAGUGAAGAAGAAAUCAGGGUUUUAGAUACUGCAGAGGUGGCAACCUGUAGUCAAGCAGCAUCCAAAUUCUAUCUAGUUUUCCUUGGUUCCUAGAUUCUGUCACGUAAAAUGAAAACCAGAAUCCCCUGCCUGUAUGGCCUGGGAUGGGAACUAAGGCUUUUACUCUAUCCGGUGUUUCUGCCUUACCUCUUUUUUUUUUUUUUCUUUUUUGGCCAUGCCACACGGCAUGUGGGAUCUUAGUUCUCCGACCAGAGAUCAAACCCGUGCCCCCUGCAGUGGAAGCACAGAGUCCUAACCACUGGGCCACCAGGGAAUUCCCUGCCUUACCUCUCAAGGCCAGAAUUACAACAGUUGGAGGAGAGGAAUCAGAGCUCCACCCCAAACCUACCAGGAGGAAUAAAAAUCUCUUCCUCCAAAUCCCAGAUUUCUUUUGAUCACUGACUCUGGUUUCUUUCACCUUUAAACUUUUCUACUCUUAACACUCCAUAAACCACGCACUGACAAGAGGUCGUCUUGUACAAGAAGCAGCUGAGUGAACGUGCCCUCCUUGCUGCUUUCAGAGGUUCUCAUUAUAGUAGGACUCUCUCCGUUCCCAGAAGCAGAUGCACAGCCUAGCCAAUCCCUGGAUUGUAAAAAAGAACAAUACUACAAAGGAAGACAACCCCAAAUGAGGCUCUGCAGUCCUCAU